rnacentral:rRNA from 1 species
UACAGAGGUGGCAAGCGUUGUUCGGAAUUACUGGGCGUAAAGGGCGAGUAGGUGGCCAUCUAAGUCAGACGUGAAAUCCCCCGGCUUAACCUGGGAACUGCGUCUGAUACUGGACGGCUAGAGUAUGGGAGAGGGAUGCGGAAUUCCAGGUGUAGCGGUGAAAUGCGUAGAUAUCUGGAGGAACACCGGUGGCGAAGGCGGCAUCCUGGACCAAUACUGACGCUGAGGAGCGAAAGCUAGGGGAGCAAACGGG